AGCUGGUCCAAGUGCAAUGGUGUUUACAACUGAUUGAUCACAACCAAUUACAGAUUUCUUUGCUCCUUCUCCACUCCCACUGCUUCACCUAACUAGCCUUAA
ensembl:misc_RNA Y_RNA Y RNA